CACAUCAGCCAGAUCCCAAGAGGCCCGCACACAGCCCUCUUCCAUUCCAGCUGAGAACACGGGCCUUUCGUGUUUAAAAUUAUUAUCACCUGCUUCAGAGUCAAACUAGGCGCAGCUCAACUUCAAGAAACAUGGCAACACACGCCAAGGCCUUGAAACAGCGUGCUGCCACCGACCCGCCCAGGAGCUCCCGAGACAAGAGGGCGCGGAGGCAACAGCUCGGUCACGCGGAGUCAUCCAGUGUGGUUUUAACAGUGCAGACUCUACACCCCUAACUCCAGGGCGAUCGCUGCACAGCUGGCACGCGAGCCUAUGUUCCCCGGUUCUUUGUCUCGUCACAGCGAAGCUUUGGAGUGACGGGCAUUAAGCCCCCUCGGCGCGUCACAGCUCUCAGGUCUUGUGUAGACCGUGUUACAGCUCUUAGACAGCUCAGUGUUGCAGCUCUAUUUUAUUUAGAAGAUAGCAGGAAAAUCCAUCUUCGAGGCGUGAGGGCCCGUCGAUCUAGAGAGGAGGAGGAGCGCCCUACCUACCAUAUAUAUGUAUGUGAAACACCAUGGAUACAACACCGCUACAUAUUCCUGGAAGCACCUCCCAUGAGUAGAAUAUUCAAAUGUGGUUUACGGGAAAAAAAUGUUAGUGAUACAAGGAAAAUAGUACACAGUAACACUGAGAAUACUUAUCUAAAUAUUAAAACUUUGAAAAUCAAAAAUGAUUUAAGAUAGAAAAGCAAUACAGAAGAAGACGUGGCCGCGAUCGCAUUGCAGACAGGUGCGGAGCGGAGGCAAGAGACCGGCCUUCCUUCCCUACGGGCAGGUGGCGGAGACCUCCCGGCACUCGUUUGUGCGUCCUCUAACACCUUUAACGCCCUGAGUUACUUCUCAAUCAGAACAGCGGCGUCAUGUUUGCUGAGAACCCGUCUUCCUUCCAGCGAGAAGACACUGCUCAGCUCACCUCUCCGUCACCAUCUCCUCCCUUCUCCCUGGUGAGACCCAGAGCCUGACUAGACCCCCUUGCCCCGUGCCCAGUGACUGCCGCUGGGGAGAAGACACCUCAGGACCACAAGCCCGGGCAGGCUUUUGGGGGCCCUGCUGCCCUCCUGGGUGGGGCCAGCCCGAGACGCCGGGCCUCUCGGAAAAACCGGAAAGCCUGGGCUUACAUUCUUCCCAGGCACCAGGCUGGGGUGAGUCAGGCUGAAUCCUGAUUCACUCUGCUCCAGUGCCCCACCCCCAGUGCACACCCAAGCUCGCUUCCCUCAUUUACAAGGCCCCAGGAUUCACCUGCACUCGUGGGCCCAAGUGAGACUUGACACGCAGACGUUAGGACACUUACUUUUCCUGCUUCAUGAAGACAGUGAGACAGGGAAGAAUGAGGUUUAGCAGAAACACGCGACAGUGAGAACAGCAGCUCUAGGCAUCCGGUUUCAGGCCGAGCUGCAGCGACGGCAACACCCGCCCCGCAGGCCAGUUGCUCACCCAAGUCUUGGAUUUCAUGAGCUUACAGGCAGUUUUGUCUCUUGUACUGGCCCUGAAUUUGCCACUUAGCCUGCUACCCUCAAACCCUCCCAGUGACAUUGUUAACUGCUAUCUCAGUCAACGUUCGUUGACUGUUCUGUUGUUCAUGCUGGAGGAGGAAACAGAACAGGCUGUUUUGAAAGUGGGGCUCCAUCUUGGGCUGGACUGUGGACUCUGAGCCAUAUGCCCAGUAUCUACAGAAAAG
ensembl:lncRNA